UAAUUACGAAACGACGAAUUUGGACAAAGGGCUUUGAGCUAAAACCCUAAACCCAAUCAACACUGUAUCCACCAUAGCUCCGAGAUAUUCACCCAAAACUCUCCGUACAAUGGCUUCAAGGUGUAGCAGAAUUAUCAGCAAGGCUUCGCUUUCUUCUAUCAGAUCCGCCAUGAAGCUCAAUUCUCAAUCAGCUUCUUCUGCGACGUCGUUCUCCAGUUUCUCUGCUUCAACCAGAUCUGCUUCGUCUCCUCUCCGCCGGUUAUCCUUUUCAAGAAUUCCGUCGGAGCUGGGAGGAGUGCAGUCAAUGUUGCCACUACACAAUGCAGUUGCUACGGCGAGGAUGACGUCAUGCCUGAGCUCAACAUCGAGGAGUUGCAGAGCUCUUUCACAGGGUACACUCUGCUGCACCUCUCCAGACCUCUAGCAUGUUCAUUUAUUACUACCACAAAAUAAAAAAGAAGCACAUGAGUUUCCAAAAGCAUGAAAGAAAUAUACUGGAAUAUGACAGGCCUUCCUAUUUUGCUUAAAGCUGGGUCUAUCAGUACCGAGGUGACUUUGUUAGCAGAUUGUUAGAGAAAGCUGUCAACUCUUUGAUGGAAAUGCAAGAUUUUGUCGUAGGCAAGGCAGUUCUGUUUAAUGACUCAAACUUUAUAAGGGCGGUAACAAUAUUUGAUUGUAUUGAACUGAGUUCUGUUUCCUUGAUUACUAGGAAAUUUACUAUGGAAUAAUUCUUGCUUCCUUCGUUUUUUGGGCCGAUUUUCAUACUGAAAAUGGAUGAGGUUCAUUUGUAUAACAAAGAUAUCUUGUUUUUCCAUAA